AGUGCCGUAGUUCAACGGAUAGAAUGACCCUCUUACUAAGGGUUAGAUGUGGGUUCGAUUCCCACCGGUAAGU
rnacentral:tRNA from 1 species